rnacentral:rRNA from 1 species
GGCUCAGGAUGAACGCUGGCGGCGUGCCUAAUACAUGCAAGUCGAACGGACUGUAAGCAAUACAGUUAGUGGCGAACGGGUGAGUAACACAUAAAUAAUCUACCUUUGUGACUGGGAUAACGAUUGGAAACGAGCGCUAAUACCGGAUAGGUACAAUUGAGGCAUCUUGAUUGUAUUAAAGUUGGGCUACAACACGCAAAGAUGAGUUUAUGUCGCAUUAGUUAGUUGGUGAGGGUAAAAGGCCCACCAAGACGAUGAUGCGUAGCCGAUCUGAGAGGAUGAACGGCCACAUUGGGACUGAGACACGGCCCAGACUCCUACGGGAGGCAGCAGUAGGGAAUUUUCGGCAAUGAGGGGAACCUUGACCGAGCAACGCCGCGUGAACGAGGAAGGUCUUUGGAUCGCAGAGUUCUGUUGUAAGGGAAGAACACUAUAGAUAGGGAAUGAUCUAUAGCUGACGGUACCUUGCCAGAAAGCCACGGCUAACUACGUG